GCGUUAGCUCGCUAACACAUAUACUAAAAUUGGAACGAUACAGAGAAGAUUAGCAUGGC
rnacentral:snRNA from 1 species